UUGAAGUAAAGCACGCCGGCGACAACUUGGAUUAGAAGGAAACGGAGUAGUAAACUGAUACGAGCAUGAAAACUGACCUGAGAACUUGACCAAGAUAGGUCCAGGACAUCAUCUUGAUGACCACUGAAAGUGCAUACUGGUUUGUCUGAGAGAGCAAAUACAAUUUCAGUUGCUAGAUACCGACCAUCAGCGGUGAAUCUUAUGGUCCAUAUGGAGCCUUCAUGAGCUUGAAUUUCCUGACACAAUUGCAAAGCUGUGAAUUCUUUGUGAAUCUUUCCUU